rnacentral:rRNA from 1 species
UACGAAGGGGGGCUAGCGUUGCUCGGAAUUACUGGGCGUAAAGCGCGCGUAGGCGGCUUUGUAAGUUAGAGGUGAAAGCCCAGGGCUCAACCCCUGGAAUUGCCUUUAAGACUGCAUCGCUUGAACAUCGGAGAGGUAAGUGGAAUUCCGAGUGUAGAGGUGAAAUUCGUAGAUAUUCGCAAGAACACCAGUGGCGAAGGCGGCUCACUGGCCCGGUACUGACGCUGAGGUGCGAAAGCGUGGGGAGCAAACAGG